UAGUUACAUCCUCUAUGUCUUUAGAUUCAUGCCUCUCUAAAAUCUUCUUCCCUUCCCUCUUUCCAUUUCACGAAUACCAAUCCGUCAUCAGUUCUUGGUCACGAAACAACCGGACUACUAAAACCUUGUGAAGCUUUCAUGUUUAUGAACAACAGGCCCAUCAACUGUUUGAUAAUUUGCCCCAACUAGAUGUUGAUGUUGGGGAUACACAAGGAGACAACCAUUGAUUCAUGCAUGCCUCAACUUUCAUUUGUUUGUUUGGUUGAGAUGUACAACGAAGUAAGGAAUUUUGUGAAUCAAGUAGUUUAUUAAUCUCCUAGAAAAGAACCCUUGGAAAUGGUUUUAUAACCCUUGGAAAUGGUGUUAUUAUUAAUUUUUUAAAGAUUAUGUAGGACAUUCUCUCAUUUCUUCUUACGAAACAAGGCUGAUAAAAUUGCAUACAAGUAUUUUUAUAGUCUUAGACAAUGUACAUUGGUUUAGAUUGAUGGAGGUAUGCCUCAGAGGGAACAGUGAUGAGCAUGACAGCAAUGGAUGAAUAUGGGACUUGUGCUCAAAAUUCAAGAGAUAGCAAUAUCCAUAAACCUUACCCAUCAAAUGGGAUGGUCUAUAUGAUGUCGAACUGCUAGACAUUACAGAAUUCUAAACUUGUGAUUAAGGAACACAAUUUGUAUCAUAUUUAGAGAAUUUGUAUAAUUUUGUAUUUCAUUUGAAUAAUAUGUACAAUUUUGUUGGUUUAUAUAAAGUUGAAUUAUAUAA